CCUACGGGUGGGCUGCAGUGGGGAAUAUUGGACAAUGGGCGAAAGCCUGAUCCAGCCAUGCCGCGUGUGUGAAGAAGGCCUUCGGGUUGUAAAGCACUUUCAGUGGGGAAGAAAGCCUUGGGUCUAAUACCCUCGAGGAAGGACAUCACCCACAGAAGAAGCACCGGCUAACUCCGUGCCAGCAGCCGCGGUAAUACGGAGGGUGCGAGCGUUAAUCGGAAUUACUGGGCGUAAAGCGCGCGUAGGCGGUCUGAUAAGCCGGUUGUGAAAGCCCCGGGCUCAACCUGGGAACGGCAUCCGGAACUGUCAGGCUAGAGUGCAGGAGAGGAAGGUAGAAUUCCCGGUGUAGCGGUGAAAUGCGUAGAGAUCGGGAGGAAUACCAGUGGCGAAGGCGGCCUUCUGGACUGACACUGACGCUGAGGUGCGAAAGCGUGGGUAGCAAACAGGAUUAGAUACCCGAGUAGUC
rnacentral:rRNA from 1 species